CACACACACAGACUGCUGAGUCCAUGCACACACACACACAGACUGCCGAGUCCAUACACACUCACAGACUGCUGAGUAAAUACACACACACACACACACAGACAGACUGCUGAGUCCAUACACAUGCACACAGACUGCUAAGUCCGUACACACACACACAGACUGCUGAGCAGUGGCGGAUCCAGAGCCUGAUCUCGGGAGGUGCACUUGUAGAUUAUUUAAAGAAAUAAUCCAGACACAAUAACCACUACAGCUCAGUGUAGUGGUUAUGGUGUCAAUAGUGCCG